rnacentral:lncRNA from 1 species
UAAAACUCUAGGUUAAACCACCAGAAACCCUAGAAGCCGAUAGGUCACUCAAAAAUUACCCAAAAAUCAUCAGAAAAUCUCCCAGAACGUUCGAGUGAAGAAAAUAUACUCAGAUAUCACGAUGAAAAACUCAGAAAGGCGUCCGAUUUAGAUCGGAAUCAUAAUCGACCACAAGGUCUCAGAAACACCCCCAAAAAUCUCAAAAGAGACUUCAACCAAGACAACG